AACGCACAUUGCGCCCUCUGGUAUUCCGGGGGGCAUGCCUGUUCGAGCGUCAUUAUAACCACUCAAGCUCUCGCUUGGUAUUGGGGUUCGCGGUUUCGCGGCCCCUAAAAUCAGUGGCGGUGCCUGUCGGCUCUACGCGUAGUAAUACUCCUCGCGAUUGAGUCCGGUAGGUUUACUUGCCAGCAACCCCUAAUUUUUUAAGGUUGACCUCGGAUCAGGUAGGGAUACCCGCUGAACUUAA
rnacentral:misc_RNA from 1 species